rnacentral:tRNA from 1 species
UGAAGGUGUAGCUCAGUGUUGGAGCUCUUGCUUAGCCUGUGUGAGGCCCUGGGUUCAAUCCCCAGCACUGCAA